GAUUGUUUUCUCUAAUUGACAGCCCUGCAAACUCAGUCUGGAAUCAGACAGUCAACUUGAGUUCUUUCUGGCUCAUAUAUUACACUAAUAAUAAUUCUGGAAUCAGAACUUAGAAUCAUGUUCUGUUCAUCAUGCAAAAGAAGUAAAAGAAUCCGGCUCACUCUCUCAUACCAUAGUUGUGUUGGCUAUUCUACUAAAAAGUAGUAAAAGCUUAUUUUGCUCAGUGAAGUAAAGCAAAAAUGACAAUGAGUGCAUGUGGGGAUGAGAGCAGUUUUGUGUGGGUAGCUAACCUAUCUUACUUACAUGGCCAUGUUUCCAAAUGGAACUCCUUUUUAAUGUUCAUCUUGUGGACACUUUCUCCAGUGAACACUAAGGCGAUGAAAAAAGUAUUCCAAAGGUUUUGGAAGAUUUCUGGCUUUUUAAAACUCCAUCAGCUUAAAAAAGUUCUUAACUGCUGGGCCUCCAAAAAAUCAUGAUUGUAUUUUUCUUUCCCUUGGAUAGUGAUACAAAAUGUAUGAAGAUUGGAUUUUGUGAUCAAACAAUGUUUGUUGAAAUAAGAUACUUUUUUCUAGGUGCCUCUUAAAACUUUUCCAUCAAUUUUUACUUCAGACUCUCUGGAGAGACUUGCUGCUACAUAUGCAAAUCUUGACAGAACUUACUAUCUUAUUCUUAAAAUCUGAAGCCCUGAAGCCUACAUCAUGCUUUCUUUAGAAGCAGAAUUUGCCAGUCAUGACAAAUUAUGAGAUGGUUUUGUGGAGACCAAAAUAAGACCAUUGAACACAUUUUCACUCAUGGCCUGACACAGGAGUUGAACCCAGUGCUCCAGAAGUUAAAGGGAAGCUUUCCCUGAGUAGCACUUUCCAAACACAGCAAUGCUUCGACACACUGCAGUGAAAGCUAUCUGAAAGGUAUGCCUAUCAAAGGUGGGUCCUUUAAAUUUAAAAAAAAAAAAAAAGAGAGAGAGAUUAAUGCAAAACAGGACUUAAUACCUCUCUUUAAAUAUCUUAUAGGUGGGGUUGGAAGCACAGUAUAUUAUUAUGGUUGUCCAGUACUUCUCAUAACAAGACCUUGUUCCAGUUGCUUAUAAUGUUGCCAGACUUUAACUCUUAGAGCUGAAAUUUUCCAUGCUGGGUGUCUAUUUGAGGCUGAAUGUUUGUGAAAAAUUUCAGCUAAAAUGGUUUAAUAGUUUCUGAGAAUGAAGCUAGGAAUAAGACAUUAUUUUGCCCACAUUAAGACCUUUCUUUGAAUGGAAGCUGAUGGGAGACCGAGAUCAGAUGAAGUGCUGAUGAGGAGACUGGGAACAAGUGGCAUGGGUGGAAUGAGAUGAGGGGACAGAAGACAGAUAUGCAGAGGAGCUAGAAUGUGGGGGAAGAAAUGGGACUGUCUGGGCAAAGAGAUUGGGACAAGGAAGUGGGUAGGGAGGAAACACUGAGAUUGAGGGAGACUGGAACUGGGAGCCAUGGAGGAGGAGGAACGUAGGCCUGGGGGCAACUGAAGGCUAUUAGAGGAGACAGAUUGGAUGAGAAGCCAGGAUGGGAGAACUGGGAUGGCUUGGCAAGGAGACAGGGACAAGAAGAUUGGGGGGGCGAGGGAGGCUGGGAAUGUCUGCUAUUGCUCUCAUUUACAUGGUUAGCCCAAGUGGCAGAGGCCUGUGUGGUGCAACUAAUGGUUCCAGCCCUGCUGAUGACCCAUAUGGAUGUCAAUAUGAUACCACAAGAUGGAAUUUCUGUUUUUGCUCUUUGCUUUAUUAAAAAUAAUCUACAAAACUACACACCCACACAAAAUACAUUCAAAGAACAUAAAUGUUGUAAAUUCAGGCAUUCAACAGUUAGGAAAUGCUUAAUUAAAAUUACCUGUGCAACAUUAAUUUGUCCCCCUUGUGCAUAUAUGUGAUGAUACUGUCUUUAAUUUCAUGACCAAAUGCUAUUUUCUCCACAGGACCCCUGCUUCAUUCACUGCACAAAAUGGCCCUGCUGUGGGGAUGAAUCAGGGUUGUGUCAUGAAGGAGGCUGUUGUCUGUAGGAUCCCUGCUUUAUAUGUUGCAGAAGUUGGAAGGUGUGUAGUGACUGGGGCAGGUGACUGCAGGAAGAGAAAGGAUAGUCUCAUGGUUUAGGUAGUUGAAUGCUGCCUUGGAGAAUUGGAUUCUAUCCCUACCUCUGCCAUUGAGUACCUAUCUAGUCAAGUCAUUUAAACAAAACUUUUCAUGGGUGGUCACUUAUUAUGUAUUCCUUUAUUUUCUGGGUUCCUGACUAGAGACCCUGGGGUCUGAUUUGCAAAAGUGCUGACCAUUCACAACUGCAGCUGAAGUCAGUGGAAGCUGUUCUUUGAACACAGUUUGAAACUGUCCAUUUCACAAAAGUGCUAUUUAAUGCUAAGUAUUCUCAAAAAAUCAGGUCCUAGAUGUCUCAUAGUGGAAACUUUUUACCUUAUUCUCUCUCUGCUUCAAUUCCCCCAUCUGUAAAAUGGGGUUAAUAAUAUUCCUCACCUCACAGUGAUGCUGUGAAACUAAAAUAAUUAAUGUUUGAGAAGCGCUCAGAUACAGUAGUGAUGGCUGCCACAGAAAAGCCCCUGAAAAAAAAAAUUUGGCACUCAGAGCAGGGUUUAAAUAGUGCGCAGCAUGAGAGCACACAUUGAAUGACAAGGAGAAAACAAAAUAUCAAAUAGCUGCUCAUUAAGUGAGCACUGUCCAUUCUGUGAACUGAACAAGACAGGGGUCCUGUGGAAAAACCAGUAUGUUAUGAUGUAAUUAGAAAAUGUAUCAUAAUUAGACCUGGGCAAAAUUUUUCAGACAAAUAGUUUAUUCUCUGAAAAAAAUGCCAUUUCAGUUGACCUGAAACUGUUAGCAAAUGUGACACAAAUUUGCUGAAUAGUUACAGACAACAAUAACAAAAUCAGGCUCAAUUAGCAAGAGAGGUAAAGGUGGUGGUGGUUGCCCUCCCUAUAAAUUUUAGGCCAGUGGAUGUGGGAGACCCAAGUUGAGUUCCCCCUGCUAUGUGAUAUGGAGAAGGAUUUUGAACUCGGGUCUCCCUCCUCCCCAGGUGAGUGCCCUAGCCACUGAGCUAUGGAUUAUUCUAGGCUCUCUCUCUCAGUCUCUCUUGUUAAACUAAUCAAGUAUUUUAUACAAAAUGGAAUAGUCAUUGGGCCAGAGCAAGAGAGAGACUGACUCCAUAACCCAGUGGCUAGGGCAAUCACCUCGGAGGGGAGAGACCCAUGUGCAAGUCUCUGCUCCAGUGAAUAUUUAAUUGUUUAUAUAGAGUGGAACAGCUUCAACAGGAGAGAUUGAGAGAACCGCCCCCACUCCCAAAGAAUAGCCAAUAGCCUGGUGGUUUGGCCGCUGAGCUGAGGGGAGCCCAAAUUGAAAUCCUCAUCUACGUCAGUUACAGAGGGGAAUUGAACCUGGGUCUCUCACAUCUUGACUGAGUGCCCUAACCAGAGGGUUAAAAGUUAUAAGGGGGGGCACCACCUCUUUCUCCUCUGAAUUUAGCCCUUUAAAAAUCCCCAGAAACAAAAUGCUUCGGGUUGAAUGAAACAUUUUGUUUGACUUGAAACAGACAUUUUCUGAUUCGCUGAAAUCUUUCUGAAUUUUCUGAUUUAGUUUGACACAAACAGAUUUUUUUUCUGAUAUUUCAGAACUGCCAGCAACUUGAAAAAUCAGCUCUAAUUAUAAUGCAUAUGCACAAGGAGGCCAAAUUAAGGUUGUGCAGACAAACUUAAUUCUGGCAUUUCUUAACUCUUGAGUACCUGACUUUGCAACCUUCAUAAAGUUCUUUUAAUGUAGCUUUUUUGUGUGUAAUAUAUAUCUCUAUUUAUUGAUUUUUAUCUAUAACCUUUUCAACAAAACAGUGAUAUUCUCAGUCAGCACAUUGGCUGGAUAAGGGAAAUAUACCACUUACCUUUCCAUAAGAAUGAGCAUAUAUAUCUUCCAAAGAAUUGCCACUGUGGAAAAUGGUCUUUACUUCCAGUUCCAUAUAAUUUAAAAAUAAAAAAAAGUCCUGUUUCAAAAUUAAAUUUGAUUGCCUAUGCCAAGAGUCACAGCACAAUUACCAGUCCUUUAUAUGAAGGAUGGAAAGUAGCUUUGAAUAGGUUGUCAAUAUUCUGGCUUGGAAAUUUCAAAAUGGUCACAUUCUCACUCUAAAACUAUUGUAAAUGGCUGACCUUUAGCAUCAAUUGCCAUAAAGGGAAAUGAAAUUAAUCUUCCCUCCUGGCUUUUUUAUUCACUAGACAGGCUGGAAUUGUUUAAAGUCUGUUGUUGUUUAAACAAGAGUCUAACUAAACUGAAAUGGGCAGAAGGUUUUAUCCAGGAGACCUGAGGAGCAAUGGGCUAAAAUAUAGGGAGGGUGCAUUGAGGACAACUAGGGCCUCCAAACUGAAGGCCAGAUCUGCUCUUGUGUGGGAAUAUCUACUGUAAGAUACUGGAAACCCUAUGAAGUGUCCCUUGUAGGGUGUCCCUAGCAUUGUUCUUUCCAAGCACAAUGUUGAGCCCCCCCAAAACCAGAAGACCCCUGAGCUCAGAGUGCAUCUUGACAGGGGCUUGGGCCACAUGGAUGCCUGUGACUGUUUUUUCUUCUCUCCUGGCUUUCUGUUAGCCCUUUUCAGGGACAUCUGCCCCAGCUGGUGGCCUCAGAGCCAGAAUCUCACCAGAAGGAUGGGUUUCAGAACAGAGUUGUAGGGAAGCACUGCAUUAACGCUGUUUAACUUUGAUGGGAUAAUGGGAUGAAAAUGCCCAGUCUGGGUCCACUUCCACCUUAUCUCACUGCUCCACAUCUCUGUAGAGAUACUAUCUAGGGGUUUCCGUGCAGCUUGGGUAAAGGGGUCAGAGCACCACAGAAUGGUACUGUUCACUUUCCUGGGCCCCAGCAGGAAUCCACUGUGUUUUUGUCCUCUGUGUCUCCAUGGUACUUGUCUCCAUGUCCUGUGCAGUCCUACAGUUUAUAUAAUUUAUGGGACCUUGUGUUAAUAUUAUGCUAGGUCUAGAGUUAGAGGUAGCUUUUGAAUUUGGGCUAUUGUGAUAGAAAGCAAAAUUGCAAUUUGAUACAUUUUCCCAUAAGGGUUUGGGCCUGGGCCUCUGGUGCUGCUCUAGUGAUGCUUUGUAGGUGAGGAGAAGUUGGUCACUUGCUAUACCUUUUCAGGACUGGUGGUUACUAUUAAUGGUCACCUGACAACCUGAACUGUUUUCUGAAGCUCAUUCAGAAAUUCCCACUCCAACAGCACAUGAAAAGUCUUGCUAUAAUAGCUCUAAUUAUUUGUUUGUUUGUUCUGGUUAGAAGAACUAUCAUGUGUGAUGUAGUACUAUCUGAAAUGUCAUGUGAUGUCUUGUGGCUGCUACUCUUGGUUCAGUAAAAUCUGGAUUUAAAAAUAGCCACACAAAAGGAAAUAAAGAAUUAAUCUCUCAUCUGCAAAUAUGUGGUAGGCUACUGCUAGCCUCUCGUUGGAAAAAGAAAAAUAGUCCCAGCUGUAGAGGAACGGCUCAAAUAAUAUGGGAGAUUGUUAUGGAAAAAUUAGUGCACCAAUUACAUACCCAGCAAAAUAGACAGAGGACAAAUGGAUACUUAGAUAUGUGGUUACAGUUUAGUCAGUACUCGGACGAAGUACAUUCACCUGUAAAAAAAGAAAAACAAAACCUCCAGCAUGUGUCCAAUUUUUUGAAUAUUAACAUCUGAUAGACAUGCCUCAUCUAUUAAAUAUGCGUAAUCAGAGAUUUCAUUCAGUUUAAUAAAAUCGCUAAAAAUGACAUGUCAUGGGUGUUGUAAUGAUAUCUCUAUUUCUGCAUAAUGUCUCUUUAAACAAAAGCUCAUAGUUGUAAUAAUUGUUGGUUUUUGUUUCUGAUAUUAACCUGGCAAGGAUUUGUAAACCUAUUAAACUUUCUGUAUAAAUAAAUAUUUUUUU